UGUUGUCUUUGAUGACGAUGAUGCCGUUG
rnacentral:piRNA from 1 species